GACGAACGCUGGCGGCGUGCUUAACACAUGCAAGUCGAACGGAAAGGCCCUGCUUUUGUGGGGUGCUCGAGUGUCGAACGGGUGAGUAACACGUGAGUAACCUGCCCUUGACUUUGGGAUAUCUUCAGGAAACUGGGGCUAAUACCGGAUAUGAGCUCCUGCUGCAUGUUGUGGGUUGGAAAGUUUCGGCGGUUGGGGAUGGACUCGCGGCUUAUCAGCUUGUUGGUGGGGUAGUGGCUUACCAAGGCUUUGACGGGUAGCCGGCCUGAGAGGGUGACCGGCCACAUUGGGACUGAGAUACGGCCCAGACUCCUACGGGAGGCAGCAGUGGGGAAUAUUGCACAAUGGGCGGAAGCCUGAUGCAGCAACGCCGCGUGCGGGAUGACGGCCUUCGGGUUGUAAACCGCUUUCGCCUGUGACGAAGCGUGAGUGACGGUAAUGGGUAAAGAAGCACCGGCUAACUACGUG
rnacentral:rRNA from 1 species